CGGCAGCGACGCUUAUGCGUUGUUGGGUAGGGGAGCGUUCUGUAAGCCUGUGAAGGUGUACUGUGAGGUAUGCUGGAGGUAUCAGAAGUGCGAAUGCUGACAUAAGUAACGAUAAAGCGGGUGAAAAGCCCGCUCGCCGGAAGACCAAGGGUUCCUGUCCAACGUUAAUCGGGGCAGGGUGAGUCGACCCCUAAGGCGAGGCCGAAAGGCGUAGUCGAUGGGAAACAGGUUAAUAUUCCUGUACUUGGUGUUACUGCGAAGGGGGGACGGAGAAGGCUAUGUUGGCCGGGCGACGGUUGUCCCGGUUUAAGCGUGUAGGCUGGUUUUCCAGGCAAAUCCGGAAAAUCAAGGCCGAGGCGUGAUGACGAGGCACUACGGUGCUGAAGCAACAAAUGCCCUGCUUCCAGGAAAAGCCUCUAAGCAUCAGGUAACAUCAAAUCGUACCCCAAACCGACACAGGUGGUCAGGUAGAGAAUACCAAGGCGCUUGAGAGAACUCGGGUGAAGGAACUAGGCAAAAUGGUGCCGUAACUUCGGGAGAAGGCACGCUGAUACGUAGGUGAAGCGACUUGCUCGUGGAGCUGAAAUCAGUCGAAGAUACCAGCUGGCUGCAACUGUUUAUUAAAAACACAGCACUGUGCAAACACGAAAGUGGACGUAUACGGUGUGACGCCUGCCCGGUGCCGGAAGGUUAAUUGAUGGGGUUAGCGCAAGCGAAGCUCUUGAUCGAAGCCCCGGUAAACGGCGGCCGUAACUAUAACGGUCCUAAGGUAGCGAAAUUCCUUGUCGGGUAAGUUCCGACCUGCACGAAUGGCGUAAUGAUGGCCAGGCUGUCUCCACCCGAGACUCAGUGAAAUUGAACUCGCUGUGAAGAUGCAGUGUACCCGCGGCAAGACGGAAAGACCCCGUGAACCUUUACUAUAGCUUGACACUGAACAUUGAGCCUUGAUGUGUAGGAUAGGUGGGAGGCUUUGAAGUGUGGACGCCAGUCUGCAUGGAGCCGACCUUGAAAUACCACCCUUUAAUGUUUGAUGUUCUAACGUGGACCCGUGAUCCGGGUUGCGGACAGUGUCUGGUGGGUAGUUUGACUGGGGCGGUCUCCUCCUAAAGAGUAACGGAGGAGCACGAAGGUUGGCUAAUCCUGGUCGGACAUCAGGAGGUUAGUGCAAUGGCAUAAGCCAGCUUGACUGCGAGCGUGACGGCGCGAGCAGGUGCGAAAGCAGGUCAUAGUGAUCCGGUGGUUCUGAAUGGAAGGGCCAUCGCUCAACGGAUAAAAGGUACUCCGGGGAUAACAGGCUGAUACCGCCCAAGAGUUCAUAUCGACGGCGGUGUUUGGCACCUCGAUGUCGGCUCAUCACAUCCUGGGGCUGAAGUAGGUCCCAAGGGUAUGGCUGUUCGCCAUUUAAAGUGGUACGCGAGCUGGGUUUAGAACGUCGUGAGACAGUUCGGUCCCUAUCUGCCGUGGGCGCUGGAGAACUGAGGGGGGCUGCUCCUAGUACGAGAGGACCGGAGUGGACGCAUCACUGGUGUUCGGGUUGUCAUGCCAAUGGCACUGCCCGGUAGCUAAAUGCGGAAGAGAUAAGUGCUGAAAGCAUCUAAGCACGAAACUUGCCCCGAGAUGAGUUCUCCCUGACCCUUUAAGGGUCCUGAAGGAACGUUGAAGACGACGACGUUGAUAGGCCGGGUGUGUAAGCGCAGCGAUGCGUUGAGCUAACCGGUACUAAUGAACCGUGAGGCUUAACCUUACAACGCCGAAG
rnacentral:rRNA from 1 species